rnacentral:lncRNA from 1 species
GUUAGCCAGGAGGCCAGAGUCCUUGCCCAGUAAGCACAGAGGCAGCCAAGGCCCAGGACACCGCCAGAGUUACCGGCGGCUGUGCCCCUGGGCCAUUGGGCUGUAGCUCUGCUGUGUGCGUGGCUCGCCAGGCUGAGCGGGGCAUCUUGAGAAAACGUGUCAGACCUGCUGGGCAUCCAGAGACCCCUGCAGCCCCCCAUCCUCAGGCUGCCCGGGCACACCGUGACUGUAACAGGACUCCCCUGGCAGGACUGUCAUCUGAAAAGCACAGGUUCCUAAAGCCGUGAUUCACACGUCGUUUGCUAUGGGCGGGGUUUUCACUCCCAGGAGGGAAGAAUUUAAGCACCCAGGCCCUUGUCCUCCUGGCGUCUCCUCAGUAACCACCCUCACCCUCUGCCCCCACAGCCCCUGCCUCCUCAGGAGAGAGGUCCAAGCCAUUACCGAGGUAGCCACCGGUCGUGGGUGCCAGGGGGAAGCUCAAGAUGGGCUGAUGCCCAGCGAGGGAGCCCCUUCCCUCCUCUCCAUAGGACUGGCUUGAUGGCCUCCUUCCUCAGCAGGACGUGCUGGAGGGGCCGGGGCGCUCCGUCCUGGCUCUGCAGUGCGUGGGAGCAGCAGCCCCCUCUUGACCUUGACGGGGUAUGGGGCCGCCCUCCCCUGUGGCUGUUGCCAAAGAUCAACCCAGGAAGCCUCAAGCUGCCCGGCACAGGGUCUGGUGACCAUGAGCCACCUUGGCAGGGACGCUGUCCCUGGCAGCUGUGCACGGCUAGUGCAGCACCAGCCUUGGGACAGUGGAGACCCGCCUUCCAGGAGCAGAGGGGACAUGGCCUCACUCCACUCCAUCCCACCCCCAGGAGCUCGGAAGCCUUGUUCUCCUAGCCCCCAGAGGCACACGGUAAGAUCCCAUCCCCAGGUGUCACGAAGGGGCCUUGUGAAUCACCCAGGGGUAACGGUGCCCCAUCCACUAACCUCCUACCUGUGCCUGCCCGUCUCCCCACCGCACCCUGAGCAGACAAGUGCUAUCUAUGGAAAGACCAGAGGGGACUGGAGGGCGGGCACUGGGACCAGCUCACAGUGACCAGUGGCCCUUCCUUCCUCCCACACCCUUCCUGCCAGGCCAUCCCUGGCCCCUUCCUGCCCCUCCCCGACGAAGCCCCACUCUUGCUGAUCUGAGCUGUUCAUCGCCUGUGACAAUUCAGCUCUGUGACAAUUCAGCUCUGCCCCAACGUGCCCAUUUCACCCACCUUUUCCCACUUUCAGAAUCACAGAGAAAAAUGUCCAGGAAACCAAAAGACCCGCCUCUCUUGGAGACAGUGGGGUUUCCACACAUGUUUGAUAUUAACCAUGUCCUCAUUGGCAGGAAGGGAGCUGGGCUCCCUAAGGGGAGUGCAGAACUUGGUGCAUGAGAAAGGGACUCAUCACCUGGGUUCUAGGCUUCCCCACGGUCCACAGGUUCUGACUCAGCCAGUGUCAGGGAUCGUGGGAAUCAGAGUGUCCCUCCAGACACCAGCCAGAGGACACUUCCUGAACCCUGAGUAGGUAUGUGUGGCCCCCUGGUGGGAUCCUCCACCAUCUUCCCCCUGGUUCUCAUUGCUCACGCAAGUGGAUGCUGCGGUUUCCGAAGUCAGGAGUCAGAGGUGGGAGAGUGAGAAAGAGGAAGAAGGGGGCCCAAGGACCUCUGUUGGAGGCACCGUGUCGCAAGAGCCCACUCCUGACCGCAGUGGGGUGGGAGCUUCGACUUGAUGGCAGCCAGUGUUAGCUGGCUUCAAGGGCCAGCGAGGACUCUCUGCAGCAGCCCACCUGCUCUGAGACCUUCUCUCUGCAGGGCGUUCAGACCUGCCAGCAGGUGGCGGCUCCCCCAAACCUGGCCACUCCUGCUCCAUUGUCCUCCCAGGUGCUGUCUCCAUCACCCUCACCCCUUCCCACAGGGACUGUGCCCCAGCUGGAGGGAGGAGCUUCCCUGCUACGGGAACUUACUCAGCAGCGCCCCCACAGGCCUGGCAGCCACACCCCCUUCUCUCAUGCUGACCAGCGUCCCUCUGGCCUGGCUUUCACCAAGGGCUCCGGGUUCGGACUGGCACAGGAUUGCUGUUUCUCCUUGAAGCCCGCACCAUCCUUUACAAUCAGUGGUGUGAUGGUUUGGAUCUGAGAUGUUCCCCGAGGUCUCGUGUUUGAAGACUUGGUCCCCAGUGCAGAGAUGUCCAGAGGUGGGACUCUCAGGAAAUGACUGGGCUGAGGGUUCUGAUCUCAUCGGUGGAUUCAUCCAUUUGAAAAAUGGAUAAUGUGAAUGGAUUACUGGGAGGAGAUGGAAGCCGUAAGUGGGAGGCCUGGCUGGAGGCGCAGACCUGGGGCGUGCCCUUGGGAACGGUUGCCCUGGUCCCCUCCUCUCCCUCUCUGGCUUUCCACCUGUCUUGAGUGACAGCUUUCCCCCACCACCCCCUUCCACCUUGACGUUCUGCCUCAUCUUGGGCCCAGAGCCAUGGACACUGCUGACCAUGGACUGAACCUCUGGACCCUGUCCUGCUCUGCUGUUCUCCUCAGGUACUUGUCUGCGGUGAUGAGAAGCGAACGCUCAUGGUUUCCUCACCUGGCAAAAUCAGGAUGUACUCAGGAGGAACACAGCAGGCACUUGUGGGACCUGUGUCCAUCAGAGCCAAAUGCGUUCCUGCUGGCCGCUCCCCAGCUCCAGGGGGUUACCUCUGCCCACACAGGGCUGGCGUUUGUUCUGCUGAGUGUCACCCUCCCAGGAGAGGAGCAGACUUUAGUCUGGCUUCAUUUGCGGGCCUCUUUCCUGGAGCUCUGGAGAGGUGGCUGAGGGGCCCUGAGGUCUCAAGGGCAGCCUGGCUGAAGCCUGGCACCUCUGAGACCCCGACGUGAAGUCCCAGAGCCUGGGGCCGGAAAGUUUACUCUCCUCCCCUUGAGGCCAGACUGUGUUACCUCCCUGAAAUGGGCAAAAUAGUGGCCUUUUGAAGAUUGCAGGUCCUUGUCCCUGGGACUGUGAAUUUCACCAAAUGAGGUAACACUCUAACGAUGUUGUUGGGGGUUUGGAGAUGAGGAGAUGGUCCUGGUCCCCUAGGUGGCCCCAAGGAAAUGACAGCAUCCUGUCAUUGGGGGUUUGGGGAUAAGGAGAUGGUCCUGGUCCCCUAGGUGGCCCCAAGGAAAUGACAGCAUCCUGUCAUUGGGGGUUUGGAGAUGGGGAGAUGGUCCUGGUCCCCUAGGUGACUCCAGGGCAAUCACAGGGUCCUGUCAUUGGGGGUUUGGAGAUGAGGAGAUGGUCCUGGUCCCCUAGGUGGCUCCAAGGCCAUCACAGGGUCCUGUCAUUGGGGGUUGGGAGAUGAGGAGAUGGUCCUGGUCCCCUAGGUGGCUCUAAGUCAAUCACAGGGUCCUGUCAUUGGGGGUUUGGGGAUAAGGAGAUGGUCCUGGUCCCCUAGGUGGCCACAAGGAAAUGACAGCAUCCUGUCAUUGGGGGUUUGGGGAUAAGGAGAUGGUCCUGGUCCCCCCAGGUGGCCCCAAGGCAAUCACAGGGUCCUGUCAUUGGGGGUUUGGAGAUGAGGAGAUGGUCCUGGUCCCCUAGGUGGCUCCAAGGCCAUCACAGGGUCCUGUCAUUGGGGGUUUGGGGAUGAGAAGAUGGUCCUGGUCCCCCUAGGUGGCUCCAAGGCCAUCAUGGGGUCCUGCAGAGGGAGGCAGGGAGAGCCACACAGAGGACGCCCUGUGUCCACAGAGGUGAUGGGGAAGGGCUGUGGCCAAAGCCCAGGAACAGGGGUGACCCCAGAGUUGGUGGGGGUCAUGAUUUCAGCUGGCACCUCGGCUUCUCUCCUUCAUACCUAUUAGAAUACACUUCGGUUGCUUUAAGUUGCUGACUUUGUGGUCAUUUUUCAAUAGAAACUAACACCCCUGCCCCCAAUGCUUACCAAUGUCCCGGUUGCCCUUGGAGAUGCCCAUGACAUUACGCGGGGCUGAAGAAGUACUGCAUGUCCAGGGGCUUCCCCUGCAGGUGGUGUGAGCGAGUGGCCUGUGCACAGGUAGCAACCCUCUGUGGCAAUGGCCUUGAUACUGAAACAGCCCCAGGUACAGCUGCUCCAGGUCAGGAACAAGAGAAGGCAGGGAGCCGCCUCCGGUGAACUGGACAGGUCAGAAGGCAGGAGGCCACCCCAGGUGAGCUGGACAGGGGAGAAGGCAGGUUGUCACAUCAGGUGAGCUGGACGGGGAGAAGGCAGGAGGCCACCCCAGGUGAGCUGGACAGGGGAGAAGGCAGGUUGUCACAUCAGGUGAGCUGGACAGGGGAGAAGGCAGGUGGCCACAUCAGGUGAGCUGGACAGGGGAGAAGGCAGGUGGCCACAUCAGGUGAACUGGACAUGGAGAAGGCAGGUGGCCACUUCACGUGAGCUGGACAGGGGAGAUGGCAGGUGGCCGCCCCAGGUGAACUGGACAGGGGAGAAGGCAGGUUGUCACAUCAGGUGAGCUGGACAGGGGAGAAGGCAGGCGGCCACCCCAGGUGAGCUGGACAGGGGAGAUGGCAGGUGGCCGCCCCAGGUGAGCUGGACAGGGGAGAAGGCAGGUUGUCACAUCAGGUGAGCUGGACAGGGGAGAAGGCAGGAGGCCACCCCAGGUGAGCUGGACAGGGGAGAAGGCAGGUGGCCACAUCAGGUGAACUGGACAUGGAGAAGGCAGGUGGCCACUUCACGUGAGCUGGACAGGGGAGAAGGCAGGUGGCCGCCCCAGGUGAACUGGACAGGGGAGAAGGCAGGUGGCCACAUCAGGUGAUCUGGACAGGGGAGAAGGCAGGUGGCCACACCAGGUGAACUGGACAGGGGAGAAGGCAAGUGGCCACAUCAGGUGAAUUAGGCAGGGGAGAAGGCAGGCGGCCGGCCGCCCCAGGUGAACUGGACAGGGGAGAAGGCAGGUGGCCGCCCCAGGUGAACUGGACAUGGAGACGGCAGCUGGCCACAUCAGGUGAACUGGACAGGGCAGAAGGCAGGUGGCCGCCCCAGGUGAUCUGGACAGGGGAGAAGGCAGGGGCCCACACAGGGUGGGCUGAGCUGCACUGCCCUUGGCCAGCACAGAAGGGCAGCAGGCGUCUGGCGGCCAGCAGCCCCUGGAGCAGGAAGCUGGUCUGAUGAAUGGCCCAGGUCUCCACCAGCAAUAGGUCAGUGCCUCAGAGCCCUGGGUGCUGGCACUCUCAAGGAGGGAGCAGGGAAGGUGGCUGGCCCCAGGGCCCUAGGUCAGACCCAGUCACAGGAAGGAGGGAGGGUGGGCGUGGGUCUGUGUGUCCCCUGGAAGUCCUCAGGUAGGUGUCUGGCCGAGGCCUCUGUAGGUUGAAGCGGGAUUCCUGAGUCUCCGGGAGGCUCUGGGUUCGGCCUGUAGGGCCUUCAGUGGGGUCCUCCUGAGGCAAGAGGUGGCCUGUGCCCCAGAGCCAGGCCGUACAGACCUCGAUGGGCUCUGUGCCGAGGUGAGAUCAGUCUGCGGGCAGGGUGACUGGGAGAGCCCUACACCUGUGGCUCUGGUCUCCCGACACCAGCCCUGGGGGCUCUCCAAGGGGCCUAGUGGCCCGAGCUCAUUCAGGCUCUUGCUGUAGCUCUUCCCUGUGUCCAGGAGUGCCCAUGCCUCUGGCCUUGUUGUGUGGUUGUGUGUCUGCCUGGGUCUCUGCCCAGGGCUCUCUUGGCACCACCAGGACCUCACACUCCCAAUGAGAGCCAGCGGCCACUCCCUGCCUCCUGCUGAGCUUCACUUGCCAAGCCGCCCUGCCCUCUGCAAGUCCUGUGUAACCAUUAGGGCCACCACUCCCACCACUGAGUGGUCACAUGAACUUUUUCAUUCCAGCCGUCUGAUUUUGUCCACUACUGUGCUGCUGUGCUUGCCAGUGCUGAGGUGCAGGGAAGGUGGGGUCAAGACCAAUGCCCUGGCAGAGCCGAGUCUUGUGAAGAACAAGCCCAGGUCAGCAAAGGGGCAGUGUGCGUUUCCUCCUGCCUGGAGUUGCCAGGGGUGUGCCCAGAGGAGGGGUGUGCUAGUUUCCUGACUUGGGCAGUUUCCUGGACAGGGACGUCCACCCACUGAUACAUGCAAGGUCACGAGGUUUUGGCGGGGUGGGUGGGGAACGGUAUUCAGCAAAAGGAACACUUGGAAGUGGGCUAUGCAAUGGCUGAUGGAGGACAGGACAGGUCACACUGGAGGGUGCAGCGAUGUCAGAAGGUCAAGCGAGGGUCUAUCACCAAGGAGUCUGGAUUCACGGUGGGACCAGGCAUCAGAGCAGUUGCAGGGUCUCUCAUUCUAAUGAACCUGCGAAUCCCGUGGGUGUCUCCUGCCCCGCUGAGCACGGCCACCCCCUGCCCCACUUUCGGCCCUGGUAGGAGCUGGCGUCUGCUGAGGGUGGUGUGGUCCUCCCACUCAGCCUCUGCCCACCCGGCUCUCAGAGGAUCCUGGCGAAGCAAGUAGCUCAUGGUGGGGCUGGACGUCUUCUGAGGGCUCCAGCCCACUCUCCAUGAAGACACAAACCAAGGUCCUGGGGUCCACUGCACCACGAGGCUCCUCACCCUAGGCCUCCUGGUGAGGCCUCUGCCUCUCCGCUGAGCAGAAGCCGCUCAGGCUCAGGCAGUGUGUGCUGGCUGCUUCUCCCAGGGGAGCACAGGGUUGAAGAAAGCCCCUUUCUUGGGGAAUGUCACGCUGACACGAAGCACGUGACGCUGUGAGGGAAGCGUCCGCAUGGCGUGGUUCAGGCCUCAGGACAGGCAGCUGCCGGGGAAGCCUCUCAGAAAUGUUUUCACCUGGGGAGGGACAGGGUCUUGGUGAGUGCCGGCAGGAAGUUCAGUUGCUGGACCAUGAGGUCAGUGUAUUUGCUCAUUUUGCGCAGUGGGACGUCCUCCUUCCCCGUGGGAUGAAGGUUGGUAGGCCUGACUUAGCAGAGAGCUCACAGACGGCACGUGCGGGUGGAGCCGCCUUCAGCAAUGCCGGGCGGUGCUGGCUGCGCUCUCUGCUGCCUGGCCACCAUGACGCUGCAGACGGGAGCUAAGGGUCAAGCCCUGCGGCCUUCUCACCGAUGCGCUUAUUAGUUGUUUGCUGAGAAUUUUCAGAGACAUUUGAUACAGGUUGCCCUUGGAACUGGCUUCUGCCUUGUCAGCGGGGCCAGUGGUAACACAGGCUUGAUAUUCAUUUUUGCUCACUUUUACUAACUUAGAGAAAGAAUGUUCUGUGUGCAUCUUUCUAUCCGGUCAUUUGGAAAAAUAUACAGUAAUGUCCAGUUUUCUCUCCCACUUCUUCAAAGACCCACUUGCUGCUGGUCAUGGGCUUGCUCAGGUUGUGCUUGGCAGUCCGGCCAUCGGGCAGGCAGCCUGGAUGGGCUCUUGUUGGCCCCACCUCCAGGGCCAGGCUGUGGGACAGGAGGCGCUUGGUUGUAGGUCUUUCAGCAGAUUCACAGAACUUUCUUCCUCUUCCGCGAAGGGACCCUGAUCUCCUUUCAUCUGCGUCUGCCAUUCUCAAUGCCACCUCCCCAAGGUAUGACAGUGCGCGACGUGAACACGGCUGAUCAGACCCUUCCUGGGACUGGGAAGUGGGAACAGGAGAGCUGCUGUGGCGGAGCCUGUGGUGAUGACCGGAGGUGAGUGCAUCCACAGGGAGGAAGCCUGCAAGUGACCUGGGUCCUUAGACCCCAACUGCUUUGCCGGGAGUUGGUGUAUCCCCUCUGGCUACAGAGGUCAGUAUUUCUGCCACUCUUGGGUGCUUGGUCUGGUGCCUGCCGCUCACCGGCCUUCAGCGAACUCAUUUUGGAGAAUGAAGCCUGAGGCUCGGCAGAGCCCGGAGUCGCGUAGCUAGGAGCAGUGCACGGGGACUCACAUGGCUCCUCUGACCAGAAUGUGCUCCUCCCACCAGGAAUGUCUGGUCCUCAGGGCUUUUCGUGAGAGGAAGAGGCAGGGCCAGCAAGUUGUAGAGACAGCAGGAAUGAACACAGGAGCCCAGAGGGACCAACCCACGGGAUUCUGCUCUCCAACCCUUCAAGACGUUCUCUAGCAGCCUCUGACUUUGAAGAAGGGAGAGGAGAGCUCACACCUCCUUGGUUGUACUCUCACUGGGCACUUUCUGUGGGAGAAGGUUUGAAGAGGUGACCAACCCUAAGCAGAGGGCCUUCUGACCCAUCCUUCCCAUCCCUGGAGAAACCCUUCUGUGGAGACCCUGGGACUGUGGCCCUGCCCUCUUGGUGGGAGGUGCAGCUUGGGCACUGUGAGCCACAAGCCAGAGGGGACGGGCAGCUGCGGAGCAGAGGCAGCCCCCGGCCUCCCUCCUGUCUUCACGGGCCUUGGCCCUUGUCUUAGCUGUACCCUGGGGAAGCAGAGCCACUCUCAGGGCACGUGUGCAUGGACUGGGAGAGCAGCUGGGUUCCAGCCCAGGGCCAUGAGGGGCCCAGCCCAGGGCCAUGAGGGGACCCAGGGGCCUUUGGCCUGCUCUGGCCUCAGUACAGCACAGGUCUGGCCCAGGCGUCCCCUGGGUCCUACUACAGGAAACACGGGCUCUUCUGCCUUGCUGUAUUGUCACCAGCAAUCAUUUUUUUAAAGCUCUUGAUGUGAAAUUAGUCUGAGGUUCACAAGAAUGUCACAGAAAUGAGACUGCAUGGUGUAGAGUGCUCCUUGUCCUCUGGUUUCUGCAAGGACACCCUCUGGCCUCACUGCUGAAGGUGCCCCUGGCACUGGUGCCGAGCAAGCCAGGGUGACACCGGGAGACAGACUCAGGGCCACUGAGCAGGGGCUUACUCUCUUGCGUGGGAGACUUCCCUCGGCUUUCCUGAAGUCAGAGUUCCUCUGAGUGGACGGUGUGUCCCUCGGAGGGUGCCGUCCCAGUGGCCUGACACCAGCUGCAGGUGGUGUUGAGUCUGCAGCACAAGGCAAGGCCCUGUGGUCCUUUCCCCAGGCCACCUGAUUCUGGCAGGGAGAGCAUCUCAGCCGGGGGCUCUGUCUUCAUGCCACUCCUGCAGUGUCCCCUCUGGCCCAGGUGGACGUGCUGGCCUGGCCUGGGCCUCGGUGGCUUCUCAGGCUGCUUCCAUCUCACCCUCGUCACGUCACGGUCACUAGGACAAGGGCUCCGCUUUCCCUUUAUGGUAAAGAUAGAACUUUAUUAUUUAUUUUCAAAUGAAACUUUCAAAUAGAAGAACGCUACCGAGUGCUGAGGAGCCGAUAGCAGAGGCCUUGGGCCACACCCGUGGAGGAGGUGCUGCCAGGAGCUGGGGUUGGGGUUCUCGGUCCAGUGCAGCAACGUGGGGCUCAUUAUUCUGGGUGGAGCUAGAUGCUGUGUCUAGGAGGGGCAGUGAGGCAGCAGGGUGGCGCUGUGUGUGGAGGUCAGGGACUUCUACCACUGUGGGAAUGCCGCCUGCCGAAGCUCCUCAGGGCUCAGCUCCUGCCCCACAGGUCAAGGGCUCUCUGCUCCCUGGAGCAGCCCAAGGAAGUGACUUGAGGAUGUGAGGUAUGAGACCGAGGUCCUGACCUUGCCCACCCAGGACCGCUCUGAAGGGCACCCCAGCCUGGCCUUCCCCUUGGGGUGGGCUGAGGCCACCCUGGGACUGCCUCUUGGCUCAUGCCUCCAGUGCCCGUGGCCUGGCCUCCCAGCCCGAGGCGGCCCACGCGGUGCCCACACUAACCUCCAGCUCAGAGCCUGCUCCCUGCCCGGCUGGGGCUUCACAUGCAGGUGCUGCAGAAGGUGGUGGUUGUGGUGGUCUCUUGGAGCUUCCCGCCAGCCCUGCAGCAGAGAGGUCUCUGCAGCUGCAAGGAGAAGCAGGAGGAGGAGCAGGUGCUGGUCCACACCAAGUGGGAGGUGGACACCUGGUCAAGGCUGCACUUGGUGGUUGAGAGAUGGGCAGGACAGGAGAAGGAGGGCAGGGGAAUUGGGUGACCCUUCCUGAAAGGAUGAUGGGGCCCAGCGGCUACUCAACUGAAAGUUGAGGCUGAGCGGGAGGCCUGGCCUCCAGGGAGGACAGAGAGCCGAGGGCUGGUGGGCAGUGCUGGGGGAGGUGCUGGCUCGGCUGCAGACCCAGGGCCGCUCUUCUGAUGACCUCAGCCCCUGAUCCUCCAGAACUCUCUGAGCCUGAGGAUGAUGCUUCCCCAGGGAGGACCGGGCGGUGACACAGAGUGGCAGCUGCCCCAGGACACUUCCUGGUCACAAGAUACCUGGCUGGGGGCAUGCAGCCCUGAGACACAAGGAAAGGGACCCUGUCCAAAGAGCUGCAGGCCAGGGGCAGGAGUGGAAGCAAAUGCAGGCCAGGGCCCUGGAUUGUGGAGCCAUUGGGUGGACAGAGGGAGGUGAGGGGCAGCAGAGUGUGUGUGGGGUGAAGGUGGCUUGGGAGAGGGACAAGGCCAGGGCCCUGGGUGGGACUGCAUGGUGUAGAGUGCUCUCGGGACACCUUCUAGGACCAAGGAUGACGCGGGGGCCCCUAAGUGUGCCGGGAAGGCAGCAUUCACAGAGUAGGUGCUGGAGGAAGGCCCAAGGCCCUGAGGUGGGGCCUGCCUCGGAGGACGUUCUACCUGGGGUGGAAAGCUCAGGACCAUGGGAGGCCUGGGACACACAGCCGCUGCCCAACUGCAAGGAGUCCCCAGCUGGGGGACACCCAGGAGGACAGCCUUGGCAGCCCAGGUGGAGACGGAUCCUCCAACCGGCCAGCACAGCUGCAUGCCUUCCUUCUGAGGCCUGGAGUCUCUGGCCCCUUGGCCUCAGUGACGUGUCUUUUCUACAGUGCAGAAGUGACCCUCCAGACCGUCGGAGCCUCGAUCCAAAGGAGCUUGAUGCUUUAGCCUGGGCCUCCUGAAGCCCUGCCUGUGGCAGCCCUGAGACUCACGAGAGCACCUUCUGCCCACUGAAGCAGCCCCCUGGGAGGGCUGCACUCCACACUGUGGGGUGGGGGGUUGCCAAGACCCUUGUACCUCUGCUGCCCUGACCCUAUGGCUCUGUUGUCACCAUGUGCAGCAGAACUGCCCACCUGAGCCCGACUUCAAUUCCUGACUCACAAAUUCAUGACAUAUAACAAAUGAAGUUUAUUUAUUGUCAACCUCUAAGGUUUGGAGUAACUUGUUACGCAGAAAUAAAUAUCUGGAACAAUUAAGUCAACCCAAGUGACUUUGCCUG